CACCACUCCAGCUACUGGAGUGAUUUGAUUAGCAGAGCUGAGUGAUUAGAUUAGCAGAGUGGCUGGACAGAACUGCUGAUUACUUGCAGCCAUUCCAGCUGAUGUAUCCCCACUGCAGAAGUAGCUUGAGCUAUGCAUUUGCAUAGAUAAAACCUGUGCAUGCUUAUAUCCUGGUUUUUAUUUGCAAUUUACAACCUUGCCUCCUGUCAGCGCUUCUAGUCCCUUAGCUUACUUAGUGGAGGUCUAUAAUGGCUGUGAACUGCUGUUAGCCUGUGCUGGAGAUCAUUAUAUGUUACUGAAAAUGUCAGGGAGAGAAAAUAUUGGUUCUUUGUCAUAACUCCAGCAGAGAGAUAUUUCAGGUGCUCUGGAGUUCUACAUAGUGGUGAGAGCUUCCUAGGGAAUAACCCCGGUUUUAAGGCUGAAGCUCCAGAGGAAAUGCGGUGUUACUGAGUGUUUGAUGCUUCGAUAGAUAAAGUUCAGCGAGAUGAAUCCUACCCUUCCUGCUCCCUGCCAAGGGGAAACAGACCUGUGCUGCUGCUUCUUUGCCAAGAGAUAGCAGACAUUAUGUUUGCCCAUAUGGAGCAGUGCUCUGAAUUCCUGUGCUUGGAAUACAAGUGGAAUUCCCUUCUUAUUAAAAAGCAAAACAAAGCAACCUCCUCAGAAAUAAGUGAAAUGUUCUUAGGAAUGUGGAGUAGGUGAUCAUUUCUGGAUUGCAGGGACAAUUUUACAUUCUGUUAGAUCACUGUCUAUUUAUUUGUCUUUCUGGGUAGUAAAAGCAUGCAAAGUAGUAACUCUGUAUGAGCAAUCUUAAAAUAUAACACUGAUUAAGAAAAGUAACGUAAGAAAUAGUAUGGGGUGGUGAUACUUUGCAUGGCUGGUAACGGUUGAUAUUUGCAUAGUAACAGUGAUAAAUCCUUCUAUACUGGACCUAUGUCUUCUCUGCACUGGAAAUUUCACUAUACGAGGUGUGAGGUAAUGAAAAAUCAGGGCUGUAAUACCCCACUGAGUUUCUGAGUCAUCUUAUUGCACUGAAAU